ensembl:lincRNA Gm43522 predicted gene 43522
ACACUGACUGUGCCCUGAAGUCUGCAUGACAGUGAUGCUCCACAGAAGGGCGUCGGAUCCCACUGCAGCAACCAUGUGGUUGCUGGGAAUUGAACUCAUGACCUCUGGAAGAGCACGCUGAGCCAUCUCUCCAGCCCUCAUGGAGAACUUUAAAGCAGUCAGUCUUAAGGCUCUUCUUGUGUUCUGGGAUAACCGCCCGCAUCAAGUUGGAUGGAAGACUCCUGACCAAAAACUAAAGCCACCACAGUUGUCUGUGGAGGAACCCCCGCCUUUCUCCCACCUGUAAAAGGAGUCACUGUGGGUUCACAGAAUUAAAUUGUCGAUAGAGGGCGCCAGAGGACGGGGAAGAAACUACGGACAACGGCGUUGGCAUAUUUCUUUGGUUUAAAUUACAAUUUAAAAAAAGAAAAAGAAAAAGAAAUGAAAGAGAAAAAAAUUGAAAA